UUAAUUGAAACCAAACAUAGGUAAAUUAUUGUUAAUAAUUUUAUUGAAUUUUUUAAACAAUUCCAAUUAAA
rnacentral:tRNA from 1 species